rnacentral:rRNA from 1 species
AUUGAACGCUGGCGGGAUGCUUUACACAUGCAAGUCGAACGAGUGGCGGACGGGUGAGUAAUAUAUCGGAACGUGCCCAGUGGCGGGGGAUAACUACUCGAAAGAGUAGCUAAUACCGCCUACUAUUGGAGCGGCCGAUAUGGGAUUAGCUAGUGGGUGGGGUAAAGGCUCACCUAGGCCACGAUCCUUAGCUGGUUUGAGAGGACGACCAGCCACACUGGGACUGAGACACGGCCCAGACUCCUACGGUAGGCAGCAGUGGGGAAUUUUGGACAAUGGGGGAAACCCUGAUCCAGCCAUCCCGCGUGUAUGAGAAGGCCUUCGGGUUGUAAAGUACUUUUGGCGGGGAAGCGGUAUCUGCAGAAUAAGCACCGGCUAACUACGUGCCAGCAGCCGCGGUAAUUC